rnacentral:rRNA from 1 species
AGUGAACGCUGGCGGCGUGCUUAACACAUGCAAGUCGAACGAGGACGGAUUAUAGCUUGCUAUAAUUGUCAGCUAAGUGGCGCACGGGUGAGUAAUGUAUAGGUAAUAUGCCUCUUACUAAGGGAUAACAAAUGGAAACGUUUGCUAAUCACUUAUACUCCUUAUCAACAGAAGUUAAUAAGGGAAAGAUUUAUUGGUAAGAGAUUAGCCUGUAUUGUAUCAGUUAGUUGGUGGGGUAAUGGCUUAACAAGACUAUGACACAUAACUGGUUUGAGAGGAUGAUCAGUCACACUGGAACUGAGACACGGUCCAGACUCCUACGGGAGGCAGCAGUGGGGAAUAUUGCACAAUGGACGAAAGUCUGAUGCAGCAACGCCGCGUGGAGGAUGACACAUUUCGGUGCGUAAACUCCUUUUAUAUGAGAAGAUAAUGACGGUAUUAUAUGAAUAAGCACCGGCUAACUCCGUGCCAGCCGCCGCAGUAA